CUCUGACAUGCCCUGGAGACAUUUUCCCCGUUGUCUUGGUAAGAAGAAAUGUCAGAAGAAGUUGAGGGACCAGAAACCGGGUCCUUUACAGUUGAGGAGACAUUCUGCUGGAUAGAGUUUUAAAUGUUUCCUCCAGUUAUCUGCCUUAUUAUGCAGGAUUUUUGUCUCAGGAGUUCCCUUUGAUUUUAUAAACUGACACAACUUCCUGUUUUGUUAUGAAUGCACACUGCUCCAGUCCUUCAAUAAACCCAUCGCACAUUUUCACCA